rnacentral:misc_RNA from 1 species
GUUGAAUUUGAUAUCGAUCGUCGCCAAACAUCUUGGAUAACGCACCGGCACAGCCAUGGCUUGGGUUGGGAACCUAAUUCGAUUCUCAGCUAUCAAAUCAGCAUCUUCUCCAUCCAUCACAGCCAAACCCCUGAUUUUAACUACUUCUCCCAACUUUUUGUUCUCUUCUCUCUCCCAUUUCACCACCGACGCCUCCCUUCACAAUCACAACCGUUCAUCACCGUCGCCAACACAGUAUGGCGGCCUAGGCCCCACCAAGCCCAAUGAGAAACCAAGGGUCGUCGUGUUGGGGUCGGGCUGGGCUGGCUGCCGCCUCAUGAAGGGCAUAGACACCAAGUUGUACGAUGUCGUUUGCGUAUCCCCCCGGAACCACAUGGUCUUCACCCCUCUGCUGGCUUCCACUUGUGUCGGCACCCUCGAGUUCAGGUCAGUGGCUGAACCCAUCGCCCGCAUCCAGCCUGCCAUUUCUAAGGAACCCGGAUCCUUCUACUUUCUCGCCAACUGCACUGGUCUCGAUACUCAUAACCAUUUGGUGCAUUGUCAGACCGUUACUGAUGGAUACACCAUGGAUCCACGGAAGUUCGAUAUCUCAUAUGACAAAUUGGUAAUUGCAUUAGGAGCAGAGGCCUCAACAUUUGGGAUCCAGGGUGUCAAAGAACAUGCAAUUUUUCUUCGGGAAGUUCACCAUGCCCAGGAAAUUCGGAGAAAGCUACUCCUGAACUUGAUGCUUUCUGAUGUACCUGGUAUUUCAGAAGAAGAGAAGAGAAGAUUGUUACAUUGUGUUGUUGUUGGAGGUGGCCCCACUGGAGUUGAAUUCAGUGGUGAACUUAGUGAUUUUAUCAUGAGAGAUGUUCGUCAAAGAUAUGCCCAUGUGAAAGAUUAUAUCCAUGUUACAUUGAUUGAGGCGAAUGAGAUAUUAUCUUCCUUUGAUGAUCGGCUCCGUCGUUAUGCUACUAAGCAGUUGACAAAGUCAGGUGUUCGCCUUGUCCGUGGGAUUGUCAAAGAUGUUGAGCCUCAGAAACUAAUUCUUAAUGAUGGCUCAGAGGUUCCAUAUGGUUUAUUGGUAUGGUCUACUGGUGUUGGACCCUCACCUCUAGUAAAAUCUCUGGACCUUCCAAAAUCUCCUGGUGGAAGGUAAGUUAUUUACUCCUUGUGAUGCACAAAGUGCAUACUUGGUGUAUUUUAAUGUAAUUAAAUGAAUCUUGAGUUCAUUAUCUUGUUAAAAUAUUAUUUGAUUACAUUCCAUUAUGUGUAAAUUUGAAGGUUUUUCAUUUGAAGGUUUUUCCAAUGUAUUAUAUUGUUCCUCCUAUGCAAUUUAAGUUUUGUUGUGAUGUUUUUGAUAAUCUUCCUUGCAAAGAUGUUGAUUUCCUGCAUUGCAAUAUUGAUGAUCUUUUAGGUCAGAUCCCUAUGUUGUUUCUUUUUUCCCUUUCUUUCAAAAGCCAGUGUCUAUGCUUUAGGUCUGUUGGACCAAGGUUAACUUGUUCUAAUAAUUAUCAUUUAAUUACAGGAUUGGUAUUGACGAGUGGCUACGAGUCCCGUCCGUGCAGGAUGUGUUUGCUAUUGGUGACUGCAGUGGCUUUCUUGAAAGCACUGGUAAAACAGUCCUUCCUGCUUUGGCUCAGGUGAACUUUGAUCCAUAUGAACUAUUCAGAUCCUAUUUUAUUAAGUGUCGGCUGGUGAACUUUGAAAAUCUCAUGUCAAUAAUAAAGAAGUAGAGAUUUUAUAUGUGGGCUCUUAUGCAUUAUGCAGUUGCAUCAAGUGUUCAAGGCUGUCCUUUCAAUGAAAAAUGUUUCAAAGUAACUUACAAUUCCAGGAAGCAAAUUAUUUAGCUCCAGUAUUGAUAGUUUGACCUUCUGUUUGAUUCAAGUGUCUCAUUUCUCCUUUUGUUGCUAAUGCAUUUCUCCUGUUCAUGUCAUGCCAGUUUUUUUUUCAUUUCUGAAAAUCUAAUGCUGGUGGCAUUUUUCCCUUCUAAUUAAAAUCUGAAACAGGUUGCCGAACGGCAAGGAAAAUAUCUUUCAAGUCUCUUAAACAAAAUUGGUAUAGCUGGUGGGGGGCAUGCAUAUGGUGCUAAAGAUGUAGAAUUGGGGGAUCCAUUUGUUUACAGACAUCUGGGAAGCAUGGCAACCAUUGGCAGCUUCAAGGCUUUGGUUGAUCUUAGACAGAGCAAAGAGGCCAAAGGGAUUUCUCUGGCAGGAUUUAUCAGUUGGUUUGUAUGGCGCUCUGCAUAUCUAACACGUGUGAUAAGCUGGAGGAAUAGAUUCUAUGUGGCUAUUAACUGGGCCACAACUUUUGUGUUUGGUCGAGAUAUAAGCAGAAUAUAGAUCUGAAAAAAGGACGCAGGCAUGUAAUCUGAUUGUAGUUGCUUGUGCUCGUGUAACAUUUGAUCGUCAUUUCAAUGCCAUUGGUUUGUGGAGUACGUUGAAUAAGGGUAGGCUUCUUCUGUCGGGCUUAGACUCAAAAGUGCCAUGUUCCUUGUUGCAAAUUUGCUUUCUUUUGUCAUCCUCGUAUAAUGGCUACCCAUCGGUUUGUAAUAUCUUUCUCCCACGUGGCUGGUUUCUUUGGCUGGUUACGCUUUUAGAACGAAUUUAUAGAGAUUUUUCGCCUCGAGUUAUUAGCACACCCCUGGGCCUCUCCUCUCUCUAAAUUUGGUUCCAGAGAAUUAUGGGUUUUGCUGUUAAAUAAGUUAUCAAGGUGAUUUGUUAACACAAUUCCCCAAUAAAUAGAU